AUGGUACAGUGAAAAGGAGAAUCCCAUGUAGGAAUUGUGCAUAUGCCAGCUCUGCCUCAAUACCUGCAUUGGGGAGAGUAGAGACAGACUGACCCAGAAAACCAAGGUGUUGGAGCAGCUCCCAGACUAGACCCCUAUGUUUUCCAGGGUAGAUACACCAUCAGGUCCUUUUACAGCUUGUGGAGCCAAAGCAGACAGAAUCAUAGAGAAAGGUCUGAAAGUACAGGAGUUUGAGUUAUAGAAAAAUACCUUGUCAUAUACUGGAAACUUGGAUUUUGAGAUUUAAGAACACAUCAAAUAUAAUGCAAGCAUUGGGAUCUAUGACCUGGACUUCUCUGUGGUGAUGGGUAGGUCAGGUUUCAGCAUCAGAAACAAGGAGUGCAGAAUGGCUUGCAUUGGGUUCAAACAAAGAGUCAGCGAGUGCUGAUUCUAACAGAAAUACGAUGUAAUCAUCCUUUUUGGCAAAUAA
rnacentral:lncRNA from 1 species